ACACUCCUGCGGGAGGCAGCAGUGGGGAAUAUUGCACAAUGGGCGCAAGCCUGAUGCAGCGACGCCGCGUGGGGGAUGAAGGCCUUCGGGUUGUAAACUCCUUUCGCUAGGGACGAAGCUUUUUUGUGACGGUACCUAGAUAAGAAGCACCGGCUAACUACGUGCCAGCAGCCGCGGUAAUACGUAGGGUGCGAGCGUUGUCCGGAAUUACUGGGCGUAAAGGGCUCGUAGGUGGUUUGUCGCGUCGUCUGUGAAAUUCUGGGGCUUAACUCCGGGCGUGCAGGCGAUACGGGCAUAACUUGAGUGCUGUAGGGGUAACUGGAAUUCCUGGUGUAGCGGUGAAAUGCGCAGAUAUCAGGAGGAACACCGAUGGCGAAGGCAGGUUACUGGGCAGUUACUGACGCUGAGGAGCGAAAGCAUGGGUAGCGAACAGGAUUAGAUACCCCUGUAGUCCCAUG
rnacentral:rRNA from 1 species